AUGCAACAAAUCCUUUUACUCCUUUAUAUCUUUUUUUACACGCAGGGGGUCGAAGCAUUUUGGGGGGGUGGGGGGGCUCACUGUGGAGCUGACAAUCACAGAAUGGUUUGGGUUGGAAGGGACCUCAAAGACCAUCCAGUUCCACCCCCCUGCCCUGGGCAGGGACACCUCCCACCAGACCAGGUUGCUCCAAGCCCCAUCCAGCCUGGCCUUGAACCCCUCCAGGGAUGGGGCACCCACAACUUCCCUGGGCAACCCCCCCCACAACCCUGCCAGGCCCAAAGCGGGGGGGCCCCGCCGGCCCUGACAGGAAUUUACUCCCUGGGGCCGGUGUCCCCCGCAGCACCCGGCUUCCCGGGGCUUGGGGACCCUUCCCCGCUCACCCGGCUACCUCCGACCCCGGGAGGGCAGAGGGAGACACCAACCGCCGGUCGCCCCCCUCUUCCUCCUCCUCCUCACCCCGUUGCCGGUGGGCGAUUCGGGACACACACACACACACCCUCCCUCCGUCACUGCGCGCUGAGGGGCGGCGGGGCCACCCCCGCCACCGGCCCUGGGCCCCCUCCAGCCGCCCACCCGGCCCUACCGGCCCGAGGAGCCCGCGCCGCCCGUUACCGCCGCGCCGCCGCGGCAGAUUCGCCACAGAAUUGGCGGGGGGAGAAAAGGGGGGGGUCCCGGCGGGCGAGGGCGGAGAAGGGAAAAGAGGGGGUACCCCUCUUAAUCCCGGCCUCGGCUCCCUUCUCUGCGGGUGGGCGCGGAGGGACGGCGGCGGCUCCGUGUGGAAAGUGCCGCCGCGGACACGCAGACACCCAGGCACCUCCUUCCCUCCCUCCGCCCGCAGCGGAUGAAAACAAACAGCGGCGGCGAUGGCGGCGGCGGUACCGAGCAGGCCGCGGCUCUGAGGACAGCGGGCAGCCAGACACCACCCCCCCUCCCGCCACCCCCGCGUCCCCACAGGCGCUGACAGCCGCGGCCCAGCCGGCAGCGAGACCGGGAGGGAGGAGGAAGAGGAGGAGGCGGAGGGGCGCUGGCCGGAGCCCCAAGGCGGCCGCGGGGCCCCUGGAGCUUGAAGAGCGGGGCCUUGGGGACCUCCUCGGUCGGGGCGCUGAGGAGACGGCGGGGGAGCGGGGCGGCGGGCCCCCCCUCGGGCAAGCGGGCCUCGGCGCGGGAUGA
rnacentral:lncRNA from 1 species